CAGCAGCCACGGUAAUACGUAGGGUGCGAGCGUUAAUCGGAAUUACUGGGCGUAAAGCGUGCGCAGGCGGUUUUGUAAGACAGGCGUGAAAUCCCCGGGCUCAACCUGGGAAUGGCGCUUGUGACUGCAAAGCUAGAGUGCGGCAGAGGGGGAUGGAAUUCCGCGUGUAGCAGUGAAAUGCGUAGAUAUGCGGAGGUACACCGAUGGCGAAGGCAAUCCCCUGGGCCUGCACUGACGCUCAUGCACGAAAGCGUGGGGAGCAAACAGGAUUAGAUACCCGGGUAGUCCCUGUCUCUUAUAC
rnacentral:rRNA from 1 species